rnacentral:rRNA from 1 species
GACGAACGCUGGCGGCGUGCCUAAUACAUGCAAGUCGAGCGGACCUCUUCGGAGGUUAGCGGCGGACGGGUGAGUAACACGUGGGCAACCUGCCUGUAAGACUGGGAUAACUUCGGGAAACCGGAGCUAAUACCGGAUAAUCCUUUCCCUCUCAUGAGGGAAAGCUGAAAGACGGUUUCGGCUGUCACUUACAGAUGGGCCCGCGGCGCAUUAGCUAGUUGGUGAGGUAACGGCUAACCAAGGCGACGAUGCGUAGCCGACCUGAGAGGGUGAUCGGCCACACUGGGACUGAGACACGGCCCAGACUCCUACGGGAGGCAGCAGUAGGGAAUCUUCCGCAAUGGACGAAAGUCUGACGGAGCAACGCCGCGUGAGCGAAGAAGGCCUUCGGGUCGUAAAGCUCUGUUGUCAGGGAAGAACAAGUAUCGGAGUAACUGCCGGUACCUUGACGGUACCUGACCAGAAAGCCACGGCUAACUACGUGCCAGCCGCCGCGGUAA